UAAAAUUUUAUCAUACUGGUUUGUCACAGC
rnacentral:piRNA from 1 species